UACGAAGGGGGCUAGCGUUGCUCGGAAUCACUGGGCGUAAAGGGUGCGUAGGCGGGUCUUUAAGUCAGGGGUGAAAUCCUGGAGCUCAACUCCAGAACUGCCUUUGAUACUGAGGAUCUUGAGUUCGGGAGAGGUGAGUGGAACUGCGAGUGUAGAGGUGAAAUUCGUAGAUAUUCGCAAGAACACCAGUGGCGAAGGCGGCUCACUGGCCCGGUACUGACGCUGAGGUGCGAAAGCGUGGGGAGCAA
rnacentral:rRNA from 1 species